rnacentral:rRNA from 1 species
GGGGAAUAUUGGACAAUGGGCGAAAGCCUGAUCCAGCCAUGCCGCGUGUGUGAAGAAGGUCUUCGGAUUGUAAAGUACUUUUGUUGGGAAAGAAAGCCAGCUGGCUAAUACCCGGCUGGGAUACCGGUACCCAAAGAAUCAGCACCGGCUAACGCCGUUGCAGCAGCCGCGGUAAUACGAAGGGUGCAAGCGUUACUCGGAAUUACUGGGCGUAAAGCGUGCGUAGGUGGUCGUUUAAGUCCGUUGUGAAAGCCCUGGGCUCAACCUGGGAACUGCAGUGGAUACUGGACGACUAGAGUGUGGUAGAGGAUAGCGGAAUUCCUGGUGUAGCAGUGAAAUGCGUAGAGAUCAGGAGGAACAUCCAUGGCGAAGGCAGCUACCUGGACCAACACUGACACUGAGGCACGAAAGCGUGGGGAGCAAACA